AAUAAAAAAAAAGGAAAAUAAAUAUUCCGUAGGAAUGAGUCAAUGACUCAGAACUGAAGCAUCCCUUCCACAGUUACCUUUUACCUAAAAUAAUCCAGUCGUUCCAUUUUCAUCUCACUUUCUCUCUCGAGCAACCAUGGUUUCAACUCCUUCAAAGCUUCAUCCUCUACCUCUCUUCCCCUCUCCUACUCACAUUUCAGUCUUAUGACAUUUAACUCUACAUUGGAGUAAUCUGGUUGCCGAAUUGCUGCAUCAUAAUCACUACUAAUCAAACAUCGGUCCCUCUCUCUCCUGCGCACAACAGUCACGACCUUCCGCCACCUCUUCGUUUCUUCCCCAAUCACUUCCACCGCUUAAUUAGUGUGGAGAGAUGAAAAUUGAAUGCUUGAGGAUGCGAAGAAAAAGCUGCAUUCCAGGAAGAGGAGGGUUGGUGAUCCUAGCAUUAAAAGGAAGAGAAUGAAAACACGUGUCACUGGUUAGAGUUGUAUACUUCGUCUUCUCACUUUAAAGCAGCCGAAAACCCUUAAGAACGGCGACGACAGAGAACCUGUUGGUGUAGAUCUGCGAUUGAACGAAGCAAUUAUCGAGAAAUUGAACCACCAAUAGAAACUCUGUAAUGGUCACCUUCUUUCCACGCUCUUAAUCCAAGGCAUUCCUCGCCAUUCUCAAAUUUCAACUUCAGAUAUCACUGGAAUUUGAUGAUGUUGCUGAUCUAGACACCCUAGUAGGAGAGCUAAAAGACUCAUACAAAGAUAGCAUAUUACCUCACUUCAUGGACAUCAGAUAUGCAGUUUUCUUAAGGAACUUAUUCAUCGGAAAAUGUUGACGAGGUUAGAGACAUGUGGUCAAGCAAGAAGCAUAUGAAGAAAACAAGAUAUGGUAUAGAAAUAGGUCUGAGUUUUGGUUCCAAUUACUGUUAAUUGGUGUCAAUGAUUAUACUAUAACAUUUUUUUGUUGUUUUUACGCUUUUUGAAAUUACGAUCUAAAGCUCUUGCGAUUUUAGAAAUUAUAAUUGAUGUACAGUUUUUGUGUUUUUGGAGAUUACAAUUGGAAUAUUAUGGAAUUAUUAUUCAGCAAAUAUAGUUUUGCAUGAUAUCAAGCCAGCAGGUUUCACGCA